rnacentral:rRNA from 1 species
AGGCUUAACACAUGCAAGUCGAGGGGUAAGGCUCUUUCGGGAGUACACGACCGGCGGACGGGUGCGUAACGCGUAUACAAUCUGCCUUGUACUGGAGAAUAGCUCCUGGAAACGGGAAUUAAUACUCCAUAACAUUCAGAAUUCGCAUGUUUUCUGAAUUAAAGCUCCGGCGGUUUAAGAUGGGCAUGCGUGACAUUAGAUAGUUGGUAAGGUAACGGCUUACCAAGUCAACGAUGUCUAGGGGGUCUUAAAGGAUGAUCCCCCACACUGGUACUGAGACACGGACCAGACUCCUACGGGAGGCAGCAGUGAGGAAUAUUGGUCAAUGGGCGAAAGCCUGAACCAGCCAUCCCGCGUGAAGGAUGACAGCGCUACGCGUUGUAAACUUCUUUUGUAUAGGAAGAAACUUCUCUACGUGUAGAGAACUGACGGUACUGUACGAAUAAGCAUCGGCUAACUCCGUGCCAGCAGCCGCGGUAAUACGGAGGAUGCAAGCGUUAUCCGGAUUUAUUAGGUUUAAAGGGUGUGUAGGCGGAAUUAUAAGUCAGUGGUGAAAUCCUGCAGCUUAACUGUAGAACUGCCAUUGAUACUGUAAUUCUUGAGUAUAGUUGAGGUGGGCGGAAUGUGUUAUGUAGCGGUGAAAUGCUUAGAUAUGACACAGAACACCAAUUGCGAAGGCAGCUCACUAAACUAUCACUGACGCUGAGGAACGAAAGCGUGGGGAGCGAACAGGAUUAGAUACCCUGGUAGUCCACGCCGUAAACGAUGAUUACUCGUUGUUGGCAAUACAUCGUCAGCGACUGAGCGAAAGCAUUAAGUAAUCCACCUGGGGAGUACGAUCGCAAGAUUGAAACUCAAAGGAAUUGACGGGGGCCCGCACAAGCGGAGGAACAUGUGGUUUAAUUCGAUGAUACGCGAGGAACCUUACCUGGGCUUAAAUGCAGAACGACGUUCGCCGAAAGGCGUUCUCCCUUCGGGGCGGACUGCAAGGUGCUGCAUGGUUGUCGUCAGCUCGUGCCGUGAGGUGUCGGGUUAAGUCCCAUAACGAGCGCAACCCUCAUCGUUAGUUGCCAGCGGGUAAUGCCGGGAACUCUAGCGAGACUGCCACCGUAAGGUGCGAGGAAGGUGGGGAUGACGUCAAGUCAGCACGGCCCUUAUGUCCAGGGCUACACACGUGUUACAAUGGUCAGUACAAAGGGCAGCUACCUGGCAACAGGAUGCAAAUCUCUAAAACUGAUCCCAGUUCGGAUCGAAGUCUGCAACUCGACUUCGUGAAGUUGGAUUCGCUAGUAAUCGUAUAUCAGCAACGAUACGGUGAAUACGUUCCCGGGCCUUGUACACACCGCCCGUCAAGCCAUGGAAGCCGGGGGUACCUGAAGUUCGUAACCGCAAGGAGCGACCUAGGGUAAAACUAGUGACUGGGGGCUAAG